AACGAACGCUGGCGGCAGGCCUAACACAUGCAAGUCGAGCGAGGACUUCGGUCCUGGCGGCGGACGGGGGAGGAACGCGUGGGAACGUGCCCUUUGCUGCGGAAUAGCCCUGGGAAACUGGGAGUAAUACCGGAGGAGCCCUUUGGGGGAAAGAUUUAUCGGCGAAGGAUCGGCCCGCGUUGGAUGAGGUAGUUGGUGGGGUAAUGGCCUACCACGCCGACGAUGCAUAGCUGGUUUGAGAGGAUGGUCAGCCACACUGGGACUGAGACACGGCCCAGACUCCUACGGGAGGCAGCAGUGGGGAAUCUUAGACAAUGGGGUAAACCGUGAGCUGGCCAUGCUGCGUGAGCGAUGCAGGCCUUAGGGUUGUAAAGCUCGUUCAGCUGGUAAGAUAAUGCCGGUACCAGCAGAAGAAGCCCCGGCUAACUCCGUG
rnacentral:rRNA from 1 species